rnacentral:misc_RNA from 1 species
GAUGAAGAACGUAGCGAAAUGCGAUAAGUAAUGUGAAUUGCAGAAUUCAGUGAAUCAUCGAAUCUUUGAACGCACCUUGCGCUCCUUGGCAUUCCGAGGAGCAUGCCUGUUUGAGUGUCAUUAAAUUCUCAAGACCUGUCUGCUUUUUUGAUAGGUAUUGGAUUUUGGGGGUUGCAGGCUGUUUCAAAUAAAUAGCCUUGCUCUCCUUGAAUGUAUUAGUGGAGAAAAGCCAUUGAACUCCAUUGGUGUGGUAAAACCUAUCAAUGCCAGGAGCAAUAUCACUACUUCUCUCUGCUGUCUAACUGUGACUGUCUGUAUUAAUUAGUAUGGAUGGGGACAACUUGACCAACUUAACCUCAAAUCAGGUAGGACUACCCGCUGAACUUAAGCAUAUCAAUAAGCGGAGGA